rnacentral:ribozyme from 1 species
AAAGAAAACGAAAAAAAAAUCCGGCACUUCUCUCUAGUGCUUCUUCCCUGUUUUUACUUUUCUCUUUGUGUUAGUAUGUUUUAUCUCUCUAUCUCCUUAUUCGAUU